GCAGAUCACGGCUGGGUCUCCAUUGUAACCCGUAAUGGACUGUAUCUGGUAGAGAGGUAUCGUUGGGCAGAUCACGGCUGGGUCUCCAUUGUAACCCGUAAUGGACUGUAUCUGGUAGAGAGGUAUCGUUGGGCAGAUCACGGCUGGGUCUCCAUUGUAACCCGUAAUGGACUGUAUCUGGUAGAGAGGUAUCGUUGGGCAGAUCACGGCUGGGUCUCCAUUGUAACCCGUAAUGGACUGUAUCUGGUAGAGAGGUAUCGUUGGGCAGAUCACGGCUGGGUCUCCAUUGUAACCCGUAAUGGACUGUAUCUGGUAGAGAGGUAUCGUUGGGCAGAUCACGGCUGGGUCUCCAUUGUAACCCGUAAUGGACUGUAUCUGGUAGAGAGGUAUCGUUGGGCAGAUCACGGCCGGGUCUCCAUUGUAACCCGUAAUGGACUGUAUCUGGUAGAGAGGUAUCGUUGGGCAGAUCACGGCUGGGUCUCCAUUGUAACCCGUAAUGGACUGUAUCUGGUAGAGAGGUAUCGUUGGGCAGAUCACGGCUGGGUCUCCAUUGUAACCCGUAAUGGACUGUAGCCCCUGGCACAUGCAGCGGUCAUCGAAGCCUGUGUAAUAUGAUUCCACCUUAUUCCUAUCGUGUCCUUUUUGCAUGUUGAUUGACUCUGCAGAAAGUCAUAGCGGGACUUCUUGUUCCUGUCCUCGGCUAUAGCCUCGGUUGUCGGCCAUAGCCUCUGUUUUGCGGUAUCCAUGUCCUACAGCUCAGUGUUUAUCCGGGGCUUUUGAAUGGGGGAGCAGCGAACCUUCACUGUGGGGGCAACGUUCGCCGAUGCAGUCCCUAAUGAAGUCAGUGACGG